rnacentral:rRNA from 1 species
AUGCAAGAUCCGCCGCCGAGGGGGGAAACCCCAGACAGUGGACCGAUUGCUCCGAUGUGCAAUCCAAAGGGCUCACCCUCCCAGCAAGAUGAUGAUUCUCGAGGUGGUGAAGUGAUGCGAUCAUUGGACGACCUUCCAGAGGAUAUCUGCCGACGUAUUCAUGCCCGAAUGUCACUGCAAAACGCUGCCCGCUUGGCUUGUGCAUCACACACAUUUUGGAGAUCAUGGAGAUGCUAUCCCAACCUUGACUUACGUCAGAGAAUACUAGGUUUGAAUGGAGAUCACAUCAGCAAAAUUGACCAUAUUCUGCAAAAUCACUCCGGCGUUGGCAUGAAGAAACUAAGGAUUGAACUUUUUGACUGCGACAAGGUUGAUUCCUGUUAUAUCAAUAGCUGGCUUCGUAUUGCUGUUACAGCAGGAAUUGAAGAGCUCACUCUUUAUCUGCCCGCUACCGCUGAGGACGAAGCAUACUACAGUUUCCCAUGCUCGCUUUUAUUUAAUGGGAGUGAAAACUCGAUUCGGUAUCUUGACAUAGGCAUCUGUGCCUUUCGUCCCACGGCUGGGCUUGGUCGCUGGAGAAGCUUGGCAAUUUUAUUUCUGAGUAAUGUGUUGAUUGCUGACGAUGAGCUAGAGGGCCUUCUUUACAAUUGUGCUGCAUUGGAGCAUUUGGGACUCCUGAAUUGCCCGGAGAUAGUUUGCCUGAAGAUACCUUGUCUGCUGCGGCGGCUUAGGGUCCUGAGAGUGUCUAUAUGCAGAAAUCUGCAAGUGAUAGACAGCAAUGCUCCAAAUAUCUCCAGUUUUCAGUUCUCUGGUAGCUUAGUAUCGAUUUCAUUCGGAAGUGCAUUGCAAGUAAAGAAUGUACACAUGGAGUGUUUAGAAUUUGGUCAGUCCAACAUUGUCUUGCAUGCUCGGACCAAGCUUCUGUCCUAUGCACCAAAUGUUGAAACACUUGUCAUAUCCUCGCCUAAUGAGAUGAUCAGUACACCAACGCUAUCUCGCAAAUUCCUCCACCUCGAGUACUUGCAUAUUUCUCUAAUUGGAAAUGAAGCUAUUUCACCAGAUUAUGAUUACCUUUCUCUGGUUUCUUUUCUUGAAGCUUCUCCUCGCCUGGAGACUUUCAUCUUGGAAGUACGUCAGCCUUCCAUGGAGCAUGAGUCAGUUAUUCGGAAUGCCUCGCAACUGAGGCGACUACCACAACAGCGCCACACCAGCCUAAAGAGUGUGACAAUAGUGGGCUUCAGCUCCGCAAAGAGCUUGGUCGAGUUGACAUGCCACAUUGUGGAGAACGCGACAUCGCUCGAGCGCCUCACCUUGGACACUAGUCAUGGCUGUCAGAGUUCUGGAGGGUGUAGCGUCAAUAUACCUCAGAGAAGGUACUAUACGGAGAGUGGUGCCCUCGAGGCGGCCUCACCUUACAUGUGCAUCCCAAUGGGGGAGGAUAUCAUCAUGGAGACCGUCAAGGCGCGUUUGGCUAUCAGAGUACAUGUCACGGGGAAAGUUCCCUCCAGCGUGAUGUUAGAAGUGGUGGAGCCUUGCAGUUGGUGCUUCGGUGUUGAAGAUGUAGAUGCCUGA